CAUAACAUAGGGGAAGCAGGGAGGGGCUGCUGUCGAGUUUGAGCAACUUGUCAACGCAGGAGAGCCUGGAAAAGCCAUAGAUGUACUGGUUUUCUUUCGCACAGACCAGAGGCGCCUCCCACCUGCAUCCUCUGUGGGGAGGAGAGGAGACUGCAGAGAGCAGCAGCACGAGCACGGGGUACCACGUCGAGCUGACUGCAGGAGCGCACCGCCGUCAGGCGGCUCUAGCCCCGGGUACUGGGUGGGGUCUCCCCCGCCCCCAAGCACACACAUACGCAGGGGCUGAAGAAGGGUGGCUGUGUGGUAACCCCUCCCCGCGAGAGGCUGCCCCGCGGGCUGAGCGCAGCCAGCUGCACGGCAGGCAGCAGAUGCAAUGGGAUGUAGCUAGCGUCCGAAGCAAGGACAAGGCAAAGAAAAGGUGGCUGCUCUCUUGGAGGCACCAGCCAGCGGGGCACUGAAUUUAUGGCGCAAGAAGAUCACGACCAGCUUGAUGCAGUCAAGCCCAAUGAGACAUUAAUAAAUUGUGAUCCUAGCAGA